CUUCCUUUCUACACUCACACCAAAAAUUACCCCUGCCUUCCCCUUCUCUCUCUCGAAUAUUCAUUCAGGAAACAAAUUCCCACACACAAAAAUCUGUCUUCUCACUUGAUGCUAGCCAACAUUCACACAUACUCCAUCUAAGCUCUCUCUCUAGAGCAUCUUUAUAGACAACACACACCAACAAUACACCCCACCUCACUCACUCGACACUUUCUCUCUGUGCAUUGAAGGCCGGCAGCCGGUCCGGUAAGACCACCGGCGGUGCGGCGGUGGUUGUUUCCAGCAACCGGCGAGACCCCCCCCACCCCCUUUCCUUUGUUGUGUGUAACCGGUCGACCACCACCACCACCGUUUGGUGGUGGUGCGAUGACGAAACGAGAGAGGGAGAGAGAAAGAAACGACGGACUGAGAGAGAGAGGAACACCGAUUUCCGGCGAUGGAUCGCUGGUGACGAGCAACAGAGCACGACGGACGAUGGACAAGCCGUCGUCUACGGCGGUGGUGGUUCCGGUGACUGUUCCGAGUCACAGUAGUCGCAGGUCCAUUAUCCGGCGAGGAGGAAGAGGAUAUCGUGAGGAUGAUGACGAUGAUUUGGUAGAUGAUGGUGACGACGGAGGACAUACGGCGCCGCCGUGCGGCGGCGGUAGUCGUAAUGGUUGUUGUGGUUCAAGUCUCGUCUCGGGUCUGAUUUGUUACAGGUGCGGUUUUUGGUUUGGUUCGGGUCACAGUUCGGUUUCGGGUCUCGGUCAAAGGCAGUCAACAAGUCAAAGGUUCGGUUUAACUCGGUUCGGUUACGAUUCAAGCUUGGUUCAAAUCGGUCAACUGGUUUCGGUUCGGGUUUUCGGGUCAACUCGGUCAACCCGGUUGACUCAGUCAAAUCAGUCGGUCAACUCAGCGAGUCAACUCAGUUGACUCGGUCAACCUAGCCAAGCGGCUCGACGUUUCGACAACUCGACGACAGUUUUGGAAUAUUGUAGAAUGCACGCUAGCAAGCCACAUCUUGGGAACGACAUCACAAAGUCGUAUUUAGCAAGCUUUGCACAGGAAUAUUCAGGCGAGUUCAUAACUCCCACUUUUUACUUUUUUACAUUUUUGUAAAUGUUUUCGGGGUGGAAAGACAUGCACGUUUUUCAAAGACAUACAAAGUU